UACAGAGGGUGCAAGCGUUAAUCGGAAUUACUGGGCGUAAAGCGUGCGUAGUCGGUUAUCUAAGUCGGAUGUGAAAUCCCCGGGCUCAACCUGGGAAUUGCAUUCGAUACUGGAUAGCUAGAGUUCGGCAGAGGGAAGUGGAAUUUCGGGUGUAGUGGUGAAAUGCGUAGAUAUCCGAAGGAACAUCAGUGGCGAAAGCGACUUCCUGGACCAGAACUGACGAUCAGGCACGAAAGCGUGGGGAGCAAACAGG
rnacentral:rRNA from 1 species